UGGGGAAUUUUUCGCAAUGGGCGAAAGCCUGACGAAGCAACGCCGCGUGGAGGAUGAAGGCCUUCGGGUCGUAAACUCCUGUCGACCGGGACGAAAGCAGUCUGGCCGAAUAAGCCGGGCUGUUGACUGUACCGGUGGAGGAAGCCACGGCUAACUCUGUGCCAGCAGCCGCGGUAAUACAGAGGUGGCAAGCGUUGUUCGGAAUUACUGGGCGUAAAGGGCGCGUAGGCGGCCCGAUAAGUCCCGCGUGAAAGCCCCCGGCUCAACUGGGGAACUGCGCGGGAAACUACCGGGCUUGAGAUCGGGAGAGGGAAGCGGAAUUCCGGGUGUAGCGGUGAAAUGCGUAGAUAUCCGGAGGAACACCAGUGGCGAAGGCGGCUUCCUGGACCGAUACUGACGCUGAGGCGCGAAAGCUAGGGGAGCAAACGG
rnacentral:rRNA from 1 species